AGGCUGUAUAAAAGAAAAAAAUCUCAGCAUUGCCCUUGAUAAAGGAUAGAAGAAGUCUGACCCUAGGUGGUCCUAAUAGCCUUUAAAGCGCAUACAUAGUUAAGACAUUGUCACCUCUUCCGCAGCAUCUAAAUACUAUAUUUU
rnacentral:ncRNA from 1 species